UGAUUGUUUUGCAUCAUCCUAACUGGCAGUUUAUUGUUUUGUGUUUGUUUUUUUUCGCUUUCUGCAAGGUCCUUAGUAAUAAUAAUUCACUUAAUAAUUCUGCACAGGAAAGAAUCUGCAUUGUGUUUUCCAGUUUUUCUCCGAACUCAGACCAAAUACUGAAUAUGCUCUGUUUUCAAACAGUUCAUUCUUAGCGAUUCAUCUGGACUGAAAGUAUUGUUUGGUAGAGAACAUACAAAUAAAAUACACACUUGCCCAAUAAUUCUGCACACAGUGUGUCACGAUCUUGCUGGCAAAGCAGGCGAUCGUGCGGGUAGUUGCGUCAGGCGAGCGAGCAGGAACAGGCAGGCAAGAGGGAUAUGGGCUAAAAGGGUCUUUAAUCACGGAAGGGAAACCGGGGAUCAGGAAACAUAGCACACCGACUGACAUCAAUGACGGACGAAAGACUCAGACCUCAAUCUAUCAAGAUAUCCAGCAUACCCUACUACAUGUGACGUCGCCACCACCAGUGACGUCCCUGCAUCCAGCUCGCCGUUCUGAUCUUCCAUGUAUGACCCGCUGCCUUACCUCUGGUUGCCUGGCAAUUGGAAGAAGACUCGGCUUCGGCAUUGGCUUAUCAUCUUCCUUGCUCUCCAGUUAUUUCCCAAAUCUUAUUGGGGACAAUGUGACUUGGCCCAUCUCUGGCACUUAACCAUCUCUCUAUUUGACUAUCCCUGCCGGCCCCUGGAGGAUGGGCUCCCCCUUUGAGUCUGGUCCCUCUCAAGGUUUCUUCCUUCUAGGGAGUUUUUCCUUGCCACUGUUGCCUAUGGCUUACUCACUGGGGGCUUUGGGUGAGGAUACUGUAAAGCGCUUUGAGACAAUGUAAUGUUGUGAUAAUGCGCUAUAUAAAAAUAAAUUUGUUGUUGUUGUU